rnacentral:rRNA from 1 species
UACGUAGGGUGCAAGCGUUGUCCGGAAUUAUUGGGCGUAAAGAGCUCGUAGGCGGUCUGUCACGUCGGCUGUGAAAACCCGGGGCUCAACCCCGGGCCUGCAGUCGAUACGGGCAGACUAGAGUGCGGUAGGGGAGACUGGAAUUCCUGGUGUAGCGGUGGAAUGCGUAGAUAUCGCUUGGAACGCCGAAGGUGAAAACAGGUUGCUGGGGUUGUGCCGACGCUGAGACACGAAAAGCCAGGGGAGCAAACGGGG